CCUACGGGAGGCAGCAGUGAGGAAUAUUGGUCAAUGGACGAGAGUCUGAACCAGCCAAGUAGCGUGAAGGAUGACUGCCCUAUGGGUUGUAAACUUCUUUUAUAAAGGAAUAAAACGAGGCACGUGUGCCUUUUUGCAUGUACUUUAUGAAUAAGGAUCGGCUAACUCCGUGCCAGCAGCCGCGGUAAUACGGAGGAUCCGAGCGUUAUCCGGAUUUAUUGGGUUUAAAGGGAGCGUAGAUGGGUUGUUAAGUCAGUUGUGAAAGUUUGCGGCUCAACCGUAAAAUUGCAAUUGAUACUGGCAGUCGUGAGUACAGUAGAGGUAGGCGGAAUUCGUGGUGUAGCGGUGAAAUGCUUAGAUAUCACGAAGAACCCCGAUUGCGAAGGCAGCUUACUAAACUGUGACUGACAUUGAUGCUCGAAAGUGUGGGUAUCAAACAGGAUUAGAUACCCGUGUAGUC
rnacentral:rRNA from 1 species